rnacentral:rRNA from 1 species
UACAGAGGGUGCAAGCGUUGCUCGGAUUUACUGGGCGUAAAGCGUACGCAGACGGUGAGAAAGGUCGGAUGUGAAAGCCCCGGGCUCAACCCGGGAACUGCAUCCGAAACCAUCUCGCUAGAGUAUGGGAGAGGGAAGCGGAAUUCCUGGUGUAGAGGUGAAAUUCGUAGAUAUUCGGAAGAACACCAGUGGCGAAGGCGACUUACUGGACACAUAUUGACGCUGAGGUGCGAAAGCGUGGGGAGCAAACAGG